CCAAGUUCAUUGCUGAAAACAAUCACACUCUUAGCAUUAAAAUAUUUGGAGAGACAAAUAUUUCUUAAAAUGUAGGUUAGAUACGUGAUUAUAGAUGUUUUAAAUGACUAAUUGAUUUGAUUAUAUGCUUCGUAUAUAUAUAAUAUAUUAAUAUUAUGAUAAGAAGAUCACUUGACGAAGCUUUAUAAUAUGUAAGAAAAAAAGGGAUCGAAAUAAUAAAACAUAUAACAAAGUUG
rnacentral:lncRNA from 1 species